UCAUCAAGCUCGUGUAAGAAGCAUAAGAUAGAAACUUCUACGCGCACAGUAGAAAAAGCCGUAUGAGAACGCCUUUCCGUCGGUGCCUUUAAACCGCGAUGUCAGUGCACAUUUCUGAACGGGUGGCGCUCUGCCCCCUCCUCCUGGUUUUUUUCUCUCAGUUUCCCCUAUGUGCACCUAAAUACCGUUAUCGUAAUAAACGCAGAUUCCGUUAUUCUUGAAAUAGAGAAUAUCUAUCAGAUAUACGUUCGUGUUAGAUCAACUUUAUCCGAAUUUAAGCUCUUUAAGACAGACGGGCGUUUGCAAAGAUGACAGUAGGAUUCACAAGCAGCACCAUGUCUCGUGUGCGCGAUGCAGCACACGAAUAGUGGGGAGAAUGAAAGAGGCAGUGAGCGAGGUACUGGUGAAGGGAGCAAAAGAGAGGGGGAGAAAUCGAGUAGAAAGUGGGGGAUGAAAAGAGAAGAGAGGGGAACGACGAGGAAGGUAGAGAGGAAGAGUGAGGAAGAAAGAGAAGACAUUGACCGAACGAGCAGCCGCGCGACAAGGCCUCCUUUGCCGUGCUAGGCCAGCUGGAAGGAACGAAGCUUGAACCCUGACUUCUCUUUCUCAACUUAAAUUGGCUACCAAAGAAACGAUGGGAAAAAGCCACUAGAACUCGCUGUG